ensembl:lncRNA
CAGACAGCACAUACAGGUACACAUAGGUACAGACAGUACAGACAGGUACACAUAGGUACAGACAGGUACACAUAGGUACAGACAGUACAGACAGGUACAGACAGGUACAGACAGGUACACACAGGUACAGACAGUACAGACAGGUACACAUAGGUACAGACAGUACAGACAGGUAGAGACAAGUACAGACAGGUACAGACAGUACAGACAAUACACACUGGUACAGGCAGUACACACUGGUACAGGCAGUACACACAGGUACAGACAGUACACACAGGUACAGACAGGUACAAACAGGUACACACAAGUACAGACAGUACACACAAUUACAGACAGUACAGACAGUACAGACAGGUAGAGACAGUACAGACAAUACACACAGGUACAGACAGGUACACACAGGUACAAACAGUACAGACAGGUACACAUAGGUACAGACAGUACAGACAGGUAGAGACAAGUACAGACAGGUACAGACAGUACAGACAAUACACACUGGUACAGGC